rnacentral:misc_RNA from 1 species
GAGCAAUUCAUAAUCGCUACUAGAAGCGACCCAUGGUUAAAAAAGUUCUAUACAUAAGAACUUUAGAUUUUCUUCCGCGGAGCUAUUCCCAACAUAUCGCACAUUUUCCAUUUGUUUUAUAUUCUUUUCUUAUUCUUAGUUCUUAAAAUAAAUUUUAUGCUCUUUUGAAACAUUUCGCGACAUGUUUAAGCAUGAAAGAUUCGCUGGUUUUUUUCCUUUUACUAUAGUCU